rnacentral:rRNA from 1 species
AUGGCCAAUAUCAUUUUGCUCCUUUUGAUCUCCAUCUUCGGGAGGGGGGAGGCGCAGCCUUUCCCCUUCCUCCAAGGAAGGGGUGCGGCCAAGAGGGGGGGGGAGUCCAUCCUCCCCAAGGCACCUCGGAGGUGCCUUCCCCCUUGA